rnacentral:lncRNA from 1 species
AUAUAGAGUAAACUAGGAUAUAUAAGAUAAAUAAUAACACCAAUAAUACACAGUAUACACUCAAAGAUCGAAGAUCAUUACCACAACAAACUGUGAUAAAAAUGAGUUUGAGUACUCUUGUGACGUAAGUCAAGCAUUUAAAUGUCCCCAUCCCAGUCGGAGUAGGCAUCCGUUGUAAGUUAAGAACCGUGACAGUCAGGCGCACUAGCGUGGGAAGUGGGGACCGUCUCUUACUCGACGGCGUACAGUGUUGCCAUUUAUAGGUCGUAUAUCUAAUUUGAAACUAAACAUGCUGUAUAAUAGUUACGAACGUUUGAGAUCUCUAAUUUUGUUAUGAAAUAAAAUUAUUGUGAAUGGUGUGCGUGUGUACACGAUCAUUUUAGUGAGUUUCUCUUUGUACAAUGUUUAAAAUAAGAUUUUUUAACCCGGUUUUUUUUUCACGACUGGUUUUAACGUACAUACUACCAGAUAAGUAAUUUUUAAUACAGUUACAUAUUUUUAUAUUUGCCACAGAAAUGCUGGUCUCCAAGAGUAGCUUUUCUACAGAACAAGCAGUUCUGUAUAUGAGGUGCAAAAUAUAUAUUUUAUAUACGAUUCUUCAGUGCAAUACUGCAACAAUCCAAAUUUGGUUUGUUUUAAUCGGUUUUUUUGCUUAAUUUGUCAUUAUGAACGUGUAUGGUUUUUACUACAAAAAUAUGGUUACGUCAUUGUCACCCCACACAACUAGCUCUAUACAUGAUAUGCAAAAUAUAUAUUGUAUAUGAGAUUCUUCAAUAUACUCAUGCAUCAAUCCAAAUUUGGUUUGUUUUAAUCUACUUUUUUGCUUAAUUUGUCAUUAUUAGCGUGUAUGAUUUUUUACUACAAAAAUAAGGUAAAAGUAAGCUUACGUCAUUCAAGAUUUCUGACGUCAAAACCCCACAGCGUUGCCAAAACAUUAGAAUAGUAAAUAAGUGUCGGGAAUUUUCCAAAUAUCAACUUUUUAAGAAUACACUAUCCGCUAGGAGGGUUGACAUGGAGGGGAUAUUGACAUGUCGACAGUGCUUCUCGUGGUGGCAUAAUUUGUAAGCUGCCCCCCACUUUUUCUUCACUAUAUUUUCUUACCUUAGUAAUGAAAUCCACCUCUCCUUUUCAACCAGAUCCUUUGGAAACAAAGAAUCUACAUAUCCCUCUUUCACUAUGAUUGUCUAAUCUAUUUAAUAAAUAUUAUUAUUUUUCUUAGUAUAAAUUAAAACAGUUAUUUCAUAAAAUUUAUAUUAUUAAUAAUAAACAAUGUUUUUGAUUAUGUAAUCAGUAUAAUUCUAAAAUUCUCAAUAUAAUCACGAUUAUAUUUUUCUUAUUAUAAUACCGUGUUGACACUUGUAGAAGAUCGAUCAUUCCGUAUGGGUGUCGUAUAUUUAGAUGUGUUUAAAUCUAUGAAGGUUGAUGUUAUGAAAAUUUUAACGAUAACUGAUGUAGCCUGAUUCUUGUAGUAAAAAAAAACCAUGACCUCGAUUUAUGACCCGUCGCUUCGUUAUCGAACGUAUUUGCUUCGUAUCUGUUUAGUGUACGGAUAGCGCAUGAUCGAUAACGAAGCGAAGGGUCAAAAAUCGAGGUCUAUAUUUGCUGUGAGCUCUAAGGUAGAGGGGAUAUUUAAAAGUUCGUGAGCGCCAGUAGUGAUAAGUCGGUGAACUUCGGUUGGAAAUUUGACAUAAAUGUCAAAAGGAUGAAUUUAAAGCAUUGAAAUUAAAAACAUUAAUAGGAAAAAAUAUUAGUUGGCCAGAGCUGUAGCAUAUAUUUUUACCUUAAAUAUACAUACGUUUAAAAUACUGAAAUUUGGUUUCUUAACAUUUUAUAAUAUAAUUAAUCUAUUAAUCUAGCGCCAUCUACACGAUAAUUAUGAAAGUAUCGAAAGUACGAAAGAAGGAAACUAAUAUUGGCAGUCAGUAUAACGUUAAAAUGGUAAGUAAAAUCUUAAAAGAAUAAUCAUAAUGAAUCAUAAAUUACUUCUUUGCGUUGUAAAUAUUACACGGUAAGAAUUAAAUAAUGAGUUUGAAACAAUUAUUCGCUAUUAUUGGUAAUACUUUUCUCAUUCAAAUUUCCAACCGAAGUUGCACUAGUAAUCCGCUAGUUGGCGAUACCAGCGAAGUUCACAGCGAAUAAAAACUGUCUUCUCCAAUGUUAAUGCCUAUAUAUCUGCAGUUUUCUAUCGCUUCUUGCACAUGAAUUUUAAACAUUGUAAGGAACAAGCGACCAUCUCUAAGGCUUUUGUCAACUUUAACACGUCAUUACACGCGCUCGCGGCAAUUUGCCGCAGUUCCAAAAACUCUCAAAACCCGUCACAUAAAAGGAAAAAAUAGAACAACAAUAUCAAUUCAGACUUGAAAAUAGAAUAUACACAAUUUAAUAAUAUUUGGUUAAUUUUAAGCGGCAAAUUGCUAACAGGCGUGUACUUGCGUACCAAACAUGGCGCUCGUAAUGACGUGUUAAACGAACUUGUAAAGUUGUUUCAAGUUGACUAGAGAAACCAAUACAUAUCGCACCUCUACAAAUAUGUAGUGUCACAACUCAAAAAAAAA